AUUACAGAGCAGUGCAUACGUUUAAAACUUGUGUAAAACAGAGAAAGUCUCAAUGUCCAGAUUCCAAAAGAGUUACAAAGGCAGAGGUGAUGAUAAACAAAUAUGAAUUAUUAUGUGGUGGAUGUGAUGCUCGUAAAUUGAUGACAUGUGUACAUAUGCUUGGAAAUUUGGUAACAGAGGAUUUUGAAGGAUAUUUUUCUUCUUCUUCUCAGCUUAUUAAUACAGUUUGUCCAAAUUUCAAAAGUUUUAAGGAUUGUGUAUCUCCAAUCAAAACUAAGUGUGACGCUAUUAAUAUGGCUCAAGCACAGCAAAUCAGCAAGAGCAUUGAGCCAGUUCUUAGUUUGAUCGACUUGAUGUGUGGCGCUGAAUUUAAA